ensembl:lncRNA
UGAGCAGCGACUAGGUAUGUUAAUGACAUGUGGUUCAAUUAAGUACUCACUCUCUUAAACUUUAAAUCUUGAAAGAAAUUAUUCGUUUGUUUUUGUGCGUGUGAACUUGAUUUUGUGUGGUGAAUGUAAACUCAGCUGUCAUAACAAGCGGCAGGAGAGCACCUUGUUAACCUCGUGGUAUACUGCAUGCUCAAAACAUCAUAGCAUUGUUUAUUUAGGCUGCUCACAUAGCAUUUAUCUUUGUAUUAACAGGCCAAAGAAAAGGACUCACUCUGAAGACUUUUCCAAACAGCACUUUGAACAGGUGACAGGAGCCAAAGAAUUUGAGAGGCUUGCUGCCGUCGCCAAGCUGGUCCUGGUGUUGGCCCAUUCGAAUGCAGAUGCUGAGAGGGUGUUUUCAGUUGUGGGACUGAACAAAACUAAGACCAGAAAUAGCCUGGCAUUGGAUGGCACCCUGUCUUCAAUAAUGGCCAUAAAGAUGGCCGACCUGGAGCCCUGU